rnacentral:rRNA from 1 species
AGUGGCGGACGGGUGAGUAACGCGUAAGAAUCUAACUUCAGGACGGGGACAACAGUGGGAAACGACUGCUAAUACCCGAUGUGCCGCAAGGUGAAACCUAAUUGGCCUGGAGAAGAGCUUGCGUCUGAUUAGCUAGUUGGUGGGGUAAAGGCCUACCAAGGCGACGAUCAGUAGCUGGUCUGAGAGGAUGAGCAGCCACACUGGGACUGAGACACGGCCCAGACUCCUACGGGAGGCAGCAGUGGGGAAUUUUCCGCAAUGGGCGAAAGCCCGACGGAGCAACGCCGCGUGAGGGAGGAAGGUCUUUGGAUUGUAAACCUCUUUUCUCAAGGAAGAAGUUCUGACGGUACUUGAGGAAUCAGCCUCGGCUAACUCCGUGCCAGCAGCCGCGGUAAUACGGGGGAGGCAAGCGUUAUCCGGAAUUAUUGGGCGUAAAGCGUCCGCAGGUGGUCAGCCAAGUCUGCCGUCAAAUCAGGUUGCUUAACGACCUAAAGGCGGUGGAAACUGGCAGACUAGAGAGCAGUAGGGGUAGCAGGAAUUCCCAGUGUAGCGGUGAAAUGCGUAGAGAUUGGGAAGAACAUCGGUGGCGAAAGCGUGCUACUGGGCUGUAUCUGACACUCAGGGACGAAAGCUAGGGGAGCGAAAGGGAUUAGAUACCCCUGUAGUCCUAGCCGUAAACGAUGGAUACUAGGCGUGGCUU